rnacentral:rRNA from 1 species
CCUACGGGUGGCUGCAGUGGGGAAUAUUGGACAAUGGGCGAAAGCCUGAUCCAGCCAUGCCGCGUGUGUGAAGAAGGCCUUCGGGUUGUAAAGCACUUUCAGUGGGGAAGAAAGCCUUGGGGCUAAUACCCUCGAGGAAGGACAUCACCCACAGAAGAAGCACCGGCUAACUCCGUGCCAGCAGCCGCGGUAAUACGGAGGGUGCGAGCGUUAAUCGGAAUUACUGGGCGUAAAGCGCGCGUAGGCGGUCUGAUAAGCCGGUUGUGAAAGCCCCGGGCUCAACCUGGGAACGGCAUCCGGAACUGGCAGGCUAGAGUGCAGGAGAGGAAGGUAGAAUUCCCGGUGUAGCGGUGAAAUGCGUAGAGAUCGGGAGGAAUACCAGUGGCGAAGGCGGCCUUCUGGACUAACACUGACGCUGAGGUGCGAAAGCGUGGGUAGCAAACAGGAUUAGAUACCCUAGUAGUC